UUUAUUGGAGAGUUUGAUCCUGGCUCAGGAUGAACGCUGGCGGCGUGCCUAAUACAUGCAAGUCGAGCGAAUGGAUUAAGAGCUUGCUCUUAUGAAGUUAGCGGCGGACGGGUGAGUAACACGUGGGUAACCUGCCCAUAAGACUGGGAUAACUCCGGGAAACCGGGGCUAAUACCGGAUAACAUUUUGAACUGCAUGGUUCG
rnacentral:rRNA from 1 species